rnacentral:rRNA from 1 species
UUCAAAUUGAGAGUUUGAUCCUGGCUCAGGAUGAACGCUGGCGGCGUGCCUAAUACAUGCAAGUCGAACGCUUUGUGGUUCAACUGAUUUGAAGAGCUUGCUCAGAUAUGACGAUGGACAUUGCAAAGAGUGGCGAACGGGUGAGUAACACGUGGGAAACCUACCUCUUAGCAGGGGAUAACAUUUGGAAACAGAUGCUAAUACCGUAUAACAAUGACAACCGCAUGGUUGUUAUUUAAAAGAUGGUUCUGCUAUCACUAAGAGAUGGUCCCGCGGUGCAUUAGCUAGUUGGUAAGGUAAUGGCUUACCAAGGCGAUGAUGCAUAGCCGAGUUGAGAGACUGAUCGGCCACAAUGGGACUGAGACACGGCCCAUACUCCUACGGGAGG